rnacentral:rRNA from 1 species
GACGAACGCUGGCGGCGUGCCUAACACAUGCAAGUCGAACGGAGUGGCGAACGGGUGAGUAACACGUGGGUGACCUGCCCUGCACUUCGGGAUAAGCCUGGGAAACUGGGUCUAAUACCGGAUAGUGUGGGAUGGGCCCGCGGCCUGUCAGCUUGUUGGUGGGGUAAUGGCCUACCAAGGCGGAUAAGGGUAGCCGGCUUGAGAGGGUGGACGGCCAGAUAGGUACUGAGACACGGCCGAGACUCCUACGGGAGGCAGCAGUAGGGAAGAAUGCACAAUGUGCGGAAGCCUGAUGCAGGGACGCCGCGUGGGGGAUGACGGCCUUUGUGUUGUAAACUACUUUCACUAGCGACGCGGUAGAUGGAGAAGAAGCACCGGCUAACUACGUGCCAGCAGCCGCGGUAAUAC